UGUGGGGUGGCUUAGUGGUAGAGUGCUUGCCUAGCAUGAGGGAGAACUGGGUUCCAUCCCCUGCACCACAU
rfam:Ictidomys tridecemlineatus contig022028, whole genome shotgun sequence.